GACGAACCGUCCAAACGUUAUUCGGAAUCACUGGGCUUACAGAGUUCGUAGGCGGUCUGGAAAGUUGGGUGUGAAAUCCCUCGGCCUAACCGAGGAACUGCGCUUGAAACUACCAGACUCGAGGGGGAUAGAGGAAAGCGGAACUGAUGGUGGAGCGGUGAAAUGCGUUGAUAUCAUCAGGAACACCGGUGGCGAAGGCGGCUUCUGGGUCGUUACCUG
rnacentral:rRNA from 1 species